CCGGGCUCCUAGGAGACGAGGCCUCCUGCACAGCGGAGGCCGGAGCAGCCUGGCUGCCGCCGUUGUCGUUGGCGGUGGGUGGUGUGGGCGACGAGACCAGGGCAAUCACAGUAAAUACAAGAAACACGAUAGAAUCAAUGAAAGACAGCACCCAACAGGAUGGACAAACAACCAAUGUGCAAAAUACAACAAACUCUGCAAACGCAAAAGGAUAGCGCCUCUGGACCUGUGGAGUGGCAUCAGGUUUGGCAGCAGUCUUGUCAGCGAUAAUGUUAUCGUUGCACCUGUGGAGUGGCAUAUGGUUUGGAAGGUGUCCUAAGACGACAACAUUUUUGGUUUCCAGUGUCAUGUUGCUGUCAGUGACACCAUCACUGAGAGAGAUACAGCUUGGAACAGGCCUUUCCGGCCCAUCGAUCCACACCACGCCAGCAGCUCACCGAUUUAACCCUAGACGAAUCACAGGACAAUUUACAAUUACCAAACCCACUAACUGCUAUGUCUUUGGACUGUGGGAGGAAACUGGAGCAUCCGGAGGAAACCCACAUGUACAUGGGGAAGGAUGUACAAACUCCAUAGAGACAGCGCUCGAACUGAACUUUGAUGUCUGGAGCUGUAAUAGAGUUGCGCUAAUGCCCAUGCUACAGUGGUGCCCUUAUUAAUGAAGGAACGGUUAUAGCCUAAUAAACAGUCAGGUUCUUUUGAAGACCCUGACCUGGAGUUACACGCUGACUUUGGUCCUUUGCGGAAAUGGGACCCACCCUCUGGGUCUCACAACUGGCCAUUUUUCGAUAUGCCAAGGUCGCGGCCUAGAAGACUAGUGCACCUUCAGGGUGCCGGAGUUUUGUGGCUCUGGAGGUGGACGGAUUUGAGGUCGGUGCCGCUGCAGAAAACUGGUGUGUUGUGGGAGAUGGAAGAAAGCAGCAAGCUGGCUGCUGGCUGUGUGCCCAGAGACCCGAGAUCUUUGGGCACAGAGCUCGGAAGAAGCGAUGCACCAGACUUCUAACAUAGUAAAUCAGCAAGUUGUUUUGUUAUGCCUCCCCUCUCACUGUGAAACAGGGACACCACUUUUUCCCUUAUUAGGGAGAGAGAGAGUCUGUGGCAUGUCGAAUUACCAGGUGAACGAGUAGUCUGGGAGUACUGCAAGUCUGUGUCUUUACUGAUGCUUUGCUGCAUGCUUGAGUGCUCAGUGGGGG